rnacentral:rRNA from 1 species
UACGUAGGUGGCAAGCGUUGUCCGGAAUUAUUGGGCGUAAAGCGCGCGCAGGCGGUCCUUUAAGUCUGAUGUGAAAGCCCACGGCUCAACCGUGGAGGGUCAUUGGAAACUGGGGGACUUGAGUGCAGGAGAGAAGAGUGGAAUUCCACGUGUAGCGGUGAAAUGCGUAGAGAUGUGGAGGAACACCAGUGGCGAAGGCGACUCUUUGGCCUGUAACUGACGCUGAGGCGCGAAAGCGUGGGUAGCAAACAGG